rnacentral:rRNA from 1 species
AACGAACGCUGGCGGCAUGCCUAACACAUGCAAGUCGAACGAGACCUUCGGGUCUAGUGGCGCACGGGUGCGUAACGCGUGGGAACCUGCCCUUAGGUUCGGAAUAACUCCCCGAAAGGGGUGCUAAUACCGGAUAAUGUCUUCGGACCAAAGAUUUAUCGCCUUUGGAUGGGCCCGCGUUGGAUUAACUAGUUGGUAGGGUAAAAGCCUACCAAGGCGACGAUCCAUAGCUGGUCUGAGAGGAUGAUCAGCCACACUGGGACUGAGACACGGCCCAGACUCCUACGGGAGGCAGCAGUGGGGAAUAUUGGACAAUGGGCGAAAGCCUGAUCCAGCAAUGCCGCGUGAGUGAUGAAGGCCUUAGGGUUGUAAAGCUCUUUUACCCGGGAUGAUAAUGACAGUACCGGGAGAAUAAGCUCCGGCUAACUCCGUG